rnacentral:rRNA from 1 species
GGCAGCAGUGGGGAAUAUUGGACAAUAGGCGAAAGCCUGAUCCAGCCAUGCCGCGUGUGUGAAGAAGGUCUUCGGAUUGUAAAGCACUUUAAGUUGGGAGGAAGGGCAGUAAGCUAAUACCUUGCUGUUUUGACGUUACCGACAGAAUAAGCACCGGCUAACUCUGUGCCAGCAGCCGCG